rnacentral:rRNA from 1 species
UACGUAGGGUGCAAGCGUUGUCCGGAAUUAUUGGGCGUAAAGAGCUCGUAGGCGGUUUGUUGCGUCGGCUGUGAAAUCCCGAGGCUCAACCUCGGUCUGCAGUCGAUACGAGCAAACUAGAGUGUUGCAGGGGAGACUGGAAUUCCUGGUGUAGCGGUGAAAUGACGCAGAUAUCAGGAGGAACACCGGUGGCGAAGGCGGGUCUCUGGGCAACAACUGACGCUGGAG